rnacentral:rRNA from 1 species
AGUGAACGCUGGCGGUAGGCCUAACACAUGCAAGUCGAACGGCAGCACAGUAAGAGCUUGCUCUUACGGGUGGCGAGUGGCGGACGGGUGAGGAAUACAUCGGAAUCUACUUUUUCGUGGGGGAUAACGUAGGGAAACUUACGCUAAUACCGCAUACGACCUACGGGUGAAAGCAGGGGAUCUUCGGACCUUGCGCGAUUGAAUGAGCCGAUGUCGGAUUAGCUAGUUGGCGGGGUAAAGGCCCACCAAGGCGACGAUCCGUAGCUGGUCUGAGAGGAUGAUCAGCCACACUGGAACUGAGACACGGUCCAGACUCCUACGGGAGGCAGCAGUGGGGAAUAUUGGACAAUGGGCGCAAGCCUGAUCCAGCCAUACCGCGUGUGUGAAGAAGGCCUUCGGAUUGUAAAGCCCUUUUGUUGGGAAAGAAAAGCAGCAGGUUAAUACCCCGCUGUUCUGACGGUACCCAAAGAAUAAGCACCGGCUAACUUCGUG